UAGGAGCGAGGCUUGCCCGCGAAGGCGUCGUGUCAGUCAGUGAUGAUGGUGACUGAUACGGCGCCUUCGCGGGCAAGCCUCGCUCCUA
rnacentral:antisense_RNA from 2 species